CCACCUUUUGAACUUUGUUGCCCCAGGGGUGACUUGGAGUCAGCCCUUGAGCUGCUUCCUCCUGGAGGCGCCUGGGGCCCUCUCCCCCAGGAGAAAACUCCCGUUUCCUCACUGACAGCACAGGCGAGUUCUUCCCCACCCCCACCUCCCCGCCCACCACCGACCUGCCUCACGUGCACUCAUUUUCUUUUCCUUUUCAUGGAAAUCCAAAAAAUUUAUCUGGGAGCAACAAGACCAGCCAGUUCCUGCAGAUUCGAGGCCCAGCCCGCAGUCCAGCCCGUCAUCUCCCUGGGGACCAGGCGCCAACACCUAGCUCUGGAGGCAGAAGGCCCCAGGGUAACGGGAUCUGAUACAAGAGCUGGGGUCGGGCUCCUGAUAUGGCCUACAAAACAAGAUGGCUGGAAAGCAGUUCGCUGCCUUAGGUGACAGGGGAAAGGGGGCAGAACUGUGAACCGUGAGCUCAGCCUGCGGCCUCUGCAGCAGUCACCACCGACCCCCGGCCACCUACCCCAAACAGGAGGCAGAGAUCUCUCACCGUCCCCCACCUCAGGAUCCUGAAGCAGGAGCCCUGGAGCCCUCCCAGGGCCGGU
rnacentral:lncRNA from 1 species